rnacentral:rRNA from 1 species
CCUACGGGUGGCAGCAGUGGGGAAUAUUGGUCAAUGGGCGGGAGCCUGAACCAGCCAAGUCGCGUGAGGGAUGACGGCCCUAUGGGUUGUAAACCUCUUUUGCCGGGGAGCAAAGUGACGCAAGUGUGCGGUGUGGAGAGUACCCGGAGAAAAAGCAUCGGCUAACUCCGUGACAGGAGCGGCGGUAAUACGGAGGAUGCGAGCGGUAUCCGGAUUUAUUGGGUUUAAAGGGUGCGUAGGCGGACGCUUAAGUCAGCGGUAAAAUCGGGGGGCUCAACCUCGUCGAGCCGUUGAAACUGGGUGCCUUGAGUGGGCGAGAAGUACGCGGAAUGCGUGGUGUAGCGGUGAAAUGCAUAGAGAUCAUACAGAACACCGAUUGCGAAGGCAGCUUACCAAACUACGACUGACGUUGAGGCACGAAAGCGUGGGGAGCAAACAGGAUUAGAUACCCUAGUAGUC